rnacentral:rRNA from 1 species
UACGUAGGGCGCAAGCGUUGUCCGGAAUUAUUGGGCGUAAGAGCUCGUAGGUGGCUUGUCACGUCGGGUGUGAAAGCUUGGGGCUUAACUCCAGGUCUGCAUUCGAUACGGGCUGGCUAGAGGUAGGUAGGGGAGAACGGAAUUCCUGGUGUAGCGGUGAAAUGCGCAGAUAUCAGGAGGAACACCGGUGGCGAAGGCGGUUCGCUGGGCCUUACCUGACGCUGAGGAGCGAAAGCGUGGGGAGCGAACAGG